ACCGCGUUCUGUGUGCCCCAGCCUUAACGGUUCGACUGUUCGCUUCUAAACAACUGAAGCAUGAGUGUGACGUACAGCUUACGCGAAUACAAGACAAACGGUUAAUUUUCCAUAGUAAUAAUAGCAAUUAUCGUUAUUACGACGGUCGAGUCGGGUACACGAAAUAACGUACGCGACCGAUAAAAUAGUGAACAACUGCGCGGUAACCAGUCAACCGUUUCGAUUCGUUUUUGUUUUGCUUGUGAGUUGCCGCCUUAGACUUAUUACGGACAUAAUACAUACAUUCUGUAUAAUAUAUAUGGAGAAUGAACAAACGUAAAAUGAAUUUAAAGUUGGUGGAAACAUCUGAAAAAUUCAGUUGUCAUGCAACAAUGAAUUAGAUGCGAUAGACAUUUUUUUCAAGGUAAUCAAAAUAUGAAUUCAUUAUUCAAGAUAACCAGCCUAAAGUCUAAAUUACUUAUUUCACAUGUAAGAUGGAGGAUUGCAGUAAUCAUCAAUUUUCAAUGAACAAUCAAGAUGAUUUUGUAAAAACCAUGCAUAUAUCACUUGAAUGGAGUCACUAGGAUGAUUAAUAGGAAUAUUAUGAAUAACAUAGGAAAAAUUAAAAUCAGCAGGGGAACGGUAGAAUGAAAAUACCGAACAUUUGGAUAUGAAUAUAAACAUUGAUA